GAAAUCCAUUCUCCAUGGAAUUAUGCUUUUAAAAAAUCACUUAGCACGGGCUUUGUUUUUCUUCCAUAGGUGGAGAGAGGGACUCCAACACGUCGAUGGCCGGCCCCUGAUGAGCACGCUGAAGUCCCAAGGGGGCUCGUGUUGGAGUAUGAGGCCCCUUCAGCGCGUCCAGCUUGUGGAGGAGGUAAAAGAAUGUCAAGUGAGACUUCAAGGGGGAAUACUUCAUAACCCAAGUAUGUUUUCCUUAGGGCAAUAAACCACGGCUACAUCUCUUCCUGGCUCCAGCCCUCUAACUCCCAGCCAGACCUUCAUCUGUUUUCCAGAGAAACAAUAACAACAACAAAAAUGGAGGUGUUUUCUCCAAAUGUGCGGUGGAGCAAGUUGGGCUUUAAACUUUAGACAUCCAGACGGAGACCUGUUUUGGGCAGCGGUGGGAGCUGAGUGGAGUUUUUCUGUCUGUGUCAUUGAAAACAUCACCCAGCAAGGCCCUUGGCCCCAGCAGGUGACC